UACGGGGGGGGCAAGCGUUGUUCGGAAUUACUGGGCGUAAAGGGCUCGUAGGUGGCCAACUAAGUCAUACGUGAAAUCCCUCGGCUUAACCGGGGAACUGCGUCUGAUACUGGAUGGCUUGAGAUUGGGAGAGGGAUGCGGAAUUCCAGGUGUAGCGGUGAAAUGCGUAGAUAUCUGGAGGAACACCGGUGGUGUAGACGGCUCUCUGGACCGUAACUGACGCUGAGACACGAAAGCGUGGGUAGCAAACAGG
rnacentral:rRNA from 1 species